rnacentral:snRNA from 1 species
AUACCUUUCUCGGCCUUUUGGCUAAGAUCAAGUGUAGUAUCUGUUCUUAUCAGUUUAAUAUCUGAUAUGUGGGCCAUGUGCCCACUUUGAUAUUAAAUUUAUUUUUUGUGGGGGANNNNNNNNNNGGGGAGGGCUCACCACAGUGGCUUGCCACUGGGGCCCUCAUGCGUCGCCCAGGCGUUGCACUGCUGCCCGGGCCUGGCGCACCCCAA